rnacentral:sRNA from 1 species
GUGGAAUAUAGCUUUCAAGAUUGACAUUAAGAAAGCUUUUGAUACUCUUAAUUGGACUUCUUUGUUUUCUGUCUUAAAAGCCUUUUGGUCUUUGGUUUUAGUCAGUCAUAUCGUGUAAGAUGCUUAAAUUGUUCGGUUCUGAUAAAUGGCAAGCUAACUGGUUUUUUCCUUGAUCUAGAGAGACGAGGAAAAGGGGUCCUUUAUCUCCUCUACUAUUCUGCUUGGAAGAGAAGGUGUUGAACAGAAGCAUUACAAAGAUUGUAGAAAAUUGCAACCUUAUUUUAAUGGAUUAUGGUUCGAUUUCUAAUCAGAUGAUUAACUGUAUAAGUCUGAGUUCUACACUAAAAGCAAGUUCCUGAGAAGCAAGAUAGAUGAACUCUGAACUCAUUGUUCUUUUCGAAAAAAUCGUGUCCCAUUCCAAUUUUCAGCUACCCCUUUUCGCCAUGCAUGCUUUCAUGCAAGUUUUCACUCUUUCCCCUCUUCCGCCGCCGC